AGAUUUGUUUUAGAACUCUUUCUAGAUUUAGAGACAAACCUAAAACAGAUUCAGAAGAAAAAAAAAUACAAUUUUUUUUUUUUUGUACCAAUAAUUUUAUUAAAAAUACCUCAAAUAAGGUAGUCUCUAAGGAAAUUUUAUCCACUGACAAUAUGGGGCGAAAAAAAAGGAAAAAAAAACCCAUCCAAAUGUAUGGAAUUAAGUAACUAAUUAUUUAAUUCCACUUUUUGGGGGGCACGGUGGCUGAGUGGUUAGCACGUUCGCCUCACACCUUGGGGGUUCGAUUCCCGCUUCCGACUUGUGUGUGUGGAGUUUGCAUGUUCUCCCCGUGCCUCAGGGGUUUCCUCCGGGUACUCCGGUUUCCUCCCCUGGUCCAAAGACAUGCAUGGUAGGUUGAUUGGCAUCUCUGGAAAAAUUGUCCGUAGGGUGUGAGUGCGUGAGUGAAUGAGUGAGUGUGUGUGCGAUGGGUUGGCACUCCAUCCAGGGUGUAUCCUGCCUUGAUGCCCGAUGACUGCUGAGAUAGGCGCAGGCUCCCCGUGACCCGAGGUAGUUCGGAUAAGCGGUAGAAAAUGGAAUGAAAUGGAAAAACACGUGAAUAUCAAUUUCAAGUAAUGCUUACUAGGAGCUAAAAUAAAGAACCGCACUCCAGGACCCACGUUGCAUAUCUCUGGUAAUUCUACAAGGAUUCAGCUCUCAUCUGUAUGCCGGCAACUGUCCAUUGCUGGCAGUCAAAGAGAUAGAGAUUACCUCACCAAAAACAACAUCUUGUGUCCUGUAUGUAACAACAUUCGUUGGUAUAGAGAAGAUGUAUUGAAGUGAGUUGCAGAAACCCGUCUUGGACAAAAACAUCAGAUUUUUAAGGAAAUGUAAACCCUCUACAUCAUCUGAAACAUCUACAGCAGAACCUACAUCUACAUCAAUCAUUAUAAACUCUCAGUCCAGUCAAGCCUCUCCAUCCAUACAACACUAUUUUCAAUAAAAAGCAAACAACCAA